CACAUCUCACUAGAGGGACCUGGUUUAAAAGAGUCAAGUAUUCGCCUAUUGGGUGCAGAGAAAGUGAUGUAGAAAUAUGGAGCAGUAUCUGUGGAAACCGACAUAUAUAAAAAAAAAUCAGAUGCUGGCAGGGAGCUGUCCCCGAGCCUUCACCCAGGUGUUUAUUGAGAGCUGCAGGACAGACAUUGCAUAUUUCUGUAUCACACACACAGCUCGGGGAUUUAUUCCUGCCUCUCCAGCAUCUCAGGAGCUGUGAUAUAUUGUGCAUAUUACAGCCAUAGGAUGCUCAGAAAACCCCUCCAUCCUGGCUGUGAAUGGUACAUUCCUCAGACUGUGAUUCCCAACUAAAUCAGCCCUGUGCAUCGCCUUCCAAUAUCGCUGGCAGGUCUGGAGCUACCCAUCCUACAGCUAUUGUCUGAGGGUUUGCAGUUCAUCCAUCAUUUGAUAGCCAGACAGGGUCCACUAUACCACCAGAAAUGGAAGGUGUGAGCAGCAACAGGGCAAUGUCCUACAGCAGAUGGAGCUAUGACAGGUACGGUGCAUCAUGUAUCAGUGAUAUAUGUUUAACCCUUAAUUAUGACAAUAUCAUAUUUUGCUGGAACAGUGAAAAGGGUUAAUGCACAGG